rnacentral:lncRNA from 1 species
GAGAGCUGUUUCUCCAUGGAUGAUGGACGGAGGAUGCUGAGCCAGAGUAGCAUCACAGAAGGCCUAUGCGCGCUGGGACACUGGGAGUGUCUGUCUGUCUGUCUGUCUCCGUGCAAGCUGAGCUGAGGCAAUGCGUACUACUAGUGCUACUAUAGUACUAAUAGUAUAGCAUUCUUUUUGGGGACGCUAGAUGCAUCUUGAGCGAAAUAUAUCUUUAAUAUAAAUAUUUAUGUAUAAAGAAAUGAGAUAUAGAGUACGCCCCAAAGAGGUAAAUAACAAAUACAGGAGAUAAUAUUUUUUUAGUGGGGACAAUGAAAAAGGGAUAUAUAAAGAAAAGCUGCUGAAGAUAGUGAGAACCAAGGGAUUCUCAAAGUACGCUUGCUAGCAGCUUGCCCCCCACAAAGCUAUCUUCAGCAGGCCGUGUAAAUGGAUGUACAAAGUAAUGUCUUUCAUUAUAAACUGUAAUGUUUGUAGAGUAAAGUUUGAAAUAAAAAGUAAGAUUGAGAAUGGGAUGAGAAGUCUGUUAGAGAUAGUCUAAAAGUUGUGUCCACGCACGAGGAAAGAAAAAAGAAAACGACGCCCUUGUUUUUGGAACUGGGGAAGCAAACAAACACCAGUAAACUCCCACCCUCCCACCUAAGGCCAGGCUGGUUCUUAACCAUGCUGUUGCUGACGAAAAGCACAGGUAACUGCUAGUGCUGGGGAAGAAAUUUGGGGGAUGCUUGCCCCUGCCACCAAGCGUUUGGAACUAUUAGACUUGUACCGAUCGAGGCUUUCGCACGCUAGCUUCCACCCAGAUUUCGGCUCGGUGUUGUGCUCCCUCGUGACAACGAAGGGCACGCGCCGUGUUCUGUUUGUCCGUUUCAGAUUAUCUCAGACGUACGUAUGGAUCAUGGAUGUCGCGUGUGCCUCUGUCAUAGGGUAGCUUGCCAUUUACAUACAUACAUGCAGAUGCAGUUUAUCUUUUAACAAUUGUAAGGCUGGGCCACACACGGCCAACUUGUUCAGAGAUUUCGG